AUAAUACUUCCUUCGUCGGAAUAUACUUGUCAUAGGCAGGACCGAUUAUAGGAAUGAACGUAUCUACAUGUAUUUUAGUUUUAGAUACAUCCAUUUUCAUACAUUUAUGUGACAAGUAAUUACAGACGGAGGGAGUACAAC
rfam:Hordeum vulgare subsp. vulgare, WGS project CAJW01000000 data, contig: morex_contig_55685